GGGGAGAGGGAGGGACCCUAGAUAUCAGAGCUUGAGAUUAACUGUAGUCUCCCGAACAGUGGUUUUAAAGCUGUCCUGUGAAUGGGUGUUCCCCUGGGGGUUGUCAGCAGUUUAGACUUGUGAAGCCUCACCACCCUGCCAAAGACCUUGACCUGACCUUCAUCAAAGCUGCUGCAGGUCCAUCAGCUUCGUUCCCCUGGAACUAAAGAGCCUUGUAAGAACUUCACGAGGACCAUUCAUCCAGGGAGUCCUCAACCUCAGUUCUCACAGCUCACCACUGUGCUGGGCGGGAAGAGCAAAGGCCACACAGUCUGCAUUGUUGCUGUACGCUUUGGGGUGCUUGGAGAUUUUUGUUUUCUCCUUUGCUUCUUGCAAAAGAGCUGGGAAUUGGAAGAUUAACCCAACUUAACUUAGGGGCACCUCCCAUUUUGAUGGGAAUAUUUGGAAUGUAUUAUAGACUUGUAAAAAAAAAAAAAAAAAGCCAAAAGUCUACCCAAAUGACUCUGUACUCAUGUUUGCACGAUCGAAAUGUCCCACAAAAAAUAAUAAUACCUAGUUUAGAGGAGGGGCACAGGCUGCCCCUCUAAAACGGAGAAUACGGUUAUGUCUACACUGACUUUCUCUUGUUGCAGUAACACACUGUCACCAGCUUGGCUUGAAACAACACGAAUUAGUUAUCUUACUCUUCUGGACUUCAGAAGUUUGACAUGGAUCUCCCUAGGCUAAAAUCAGCAUAGUUGUGUUCCUUUGGCAGCUCUAGGAGAGAAUUAGAAAACUAAUUUCCUUGCCUUUUUUAGCUUCUAGAGGUCACUGUGCCCUUUGGCUUGUGGCCCUUCCUCCGUCUUCAGAGCCAGCAAUGGUGGGCGGAUUCCUCCUCACCUCACAACCCCCUGAUUCCACCUCCCUCUUCCACCUUGAAGGACCUUUGCGUUUACACUGAGCCCAUCCAGGUCGUCCGAGAUCACCUAUUUUAGGGUCGGCUGAUUAGCAGUCUUAAUUCCAUCGGCAACCUUCAUUCCCAUUUCCCAUGCCAAGUAAUAGAGUCACAUGUUCUCGGCAUUAGGACUGGACCGUUUUUUUGUGGGGGGAAGGGAGGUCGUUAUUCUGACUAUCACAAUUUCUCAUUUUGGCUGUCAACUGUACCAAGUAAAUUCCAAAUGCAAAUGAGUCCUUUCCCAUCUGUGCUUCUGCAAAAGAAAUACAACUGAAAUUGAUUUCAUACAACAAUUACAUAAGUGAAUGUGGAAUUACAAAUUUAUGGUAGGAGAAAGGUGGUUUUUUUUUUAAUGCCUUUUGGUUAAGAGCCAAAGAUUCUUAACUAAAAAUUUGCAGAAAGUACUGCUAUAAACAGAUGACUAUUAAACUUAAAUAGUCAUCAAGUUAAGUUAAAUUCAAUCUAACUUAAAUAUUUAUUAGGAGUGAAAGCAAACAUAAACGUUGAAAACUCAAAUCCUUAUUUCUCAGCUGUCUCCUCAUUUGCCCACAAUGUAUUUCUGGCUGUUCAGAGGUAAUUUCCUAGAUUUUAUUAACCUGUAACAGAAGGGGUUUACAGCUAAAUCCAUUCCAGAGAGUAACUCAUUUGUAACC
ensembl:lncRNA